CCAAUUCUCUCCUGCUAAAAUUAUCUUUACAGAUGAAGCAAUCAAAUGCUUCUCCAUUAAGCUGUAGUGGUUCUGGUGCUUACAGUGUCCCUUUAAAUUGGUUUGUUGCCCUACGUGUGCCUGGAACGUUCUUUCCAGAGUCGUACUGUUGUUUGUGCGUCAACAAAUUUAGUGAUGUAUUUCCGUCCAUUUAAAGCUGUAGUGGAGUCCUUUAUUUUGCGAGAUUUUCUUUGGCUGUGGUUCUGGUGGCUCCUUCUGGUAUUGCUGAUCCAUUUGUCAUUUAUUUUCUCAUAUCCUGGCUUUUAUUUUUUCUCCUUUUUCUCUUCAGUUGUCCAGUUGUUUGGAUAUGAAAUCUCCAUUCCAUUCACCAAAAUGUA